AUGCUGCUCCCUCUUCCUAGGGCGUCUUUCCCCGUCGCUCUCACCCUUCAGGUCUCCCCUCCACUGGCAACUCCUGACCACCCUCUCCAGUCGCUCUCUCCUUGUUCCUUCCCGGCACCCAUCGCCAUCGUUCAUCCUCUCACUGAUUUACUUGUUAAUGGUGUGUCCCUCCCUCCGGCUCCCCCACAGGGCAUGUCAGCUAUACAGAGCCGUGCUCUCUGCUGCCUCAUUCCCUGCAGAGCCCCAGCGCCUAGCACAUAAUUGGCCUUGAACUCCUGGGCUCAAGUAAUUCUCCUGACUCAGCCUCACGAUGUGCUGGGAUUAUAGGUGCACAAUAACCCCACGAUGUGCACCGCAGCCCACAGCACACUUUUGACGCUGAAUACAACCUUAGUUUGGUGCAAACAAGGGAGAAGUGGGAAGAAACAAGGAAAACAAG
rnacentral:lncRNA from 1 species